rnacentral:lncRNA from 1 species
GACCUCUUGUAAAAACACCUUCCUUUUUUUUUCCAGAAAAGGGACACUAUAAGCUAUGGGCUCAGCAGUAACAAGACUCACUUAUUACCUUUCUCUUUAAGAUCCUAACAGUGGAGAAUUUUCCUGAGAGCUGGAAGAUUAGGGGUCUCACCUUCAUAAAAGCACAAAGAUUCCAAUUACAGUAUAAAGGAAUAUGAGAGAAAGAGGUACUGAGCUAUCAGAUGUGUGAAUGAAGUAUAGAGAUGGCCAUUGAUUGUAAGAUGAGCUCCUUAAAGAUGUCACCUAAAUACUACACAAUUUGAACUUAAUGCAGCUCCUGAGACUGAGAUACAAUAUAAUAUGGAUCAGUUUUCUGCUGCUUGUGCUAAUUUUGAAUGCCAAGAAAACAGAUUCUCUCCAUGCCAGCACUGCACUGUCCUUGUGUGGAACCAUUGGUUACAUGUAGCAAAUGGAGAAAUUUUGAAUGAGACUCGAAGAUUUCAAAAGCCAUUUUCAUGCUUUUGACAAGCUGUCCAGUUCUGCCAAGAUGACAUCGGAAUAUUCCUACCUGUACUGCUCCUGCUUUCUCAGCUUGAGCUGCCCAGGUCAACAGUUAUGUUUAUUCAAAGCCUGGAAUGAAUGCAAAUGAGAUGCCUGGCAUAGAGCAUCAGAUAGAAGUUUACCUUGUUUAAUAGAGUUUAUAGUUUCUCUUGUCUCUGCCUGGAAUAUACUUAGAGGGAGUUUCUCGCUCAGCCUCUCAGGUUAAUCCUUGUUCACACUAGGGUUUGACUCAUAUCAAACCUGGCGUGCUGAGGCACCUGAAGGCUGUCACUGACAAGGGGUUGUAAAGAGAUGGACUGCCACUGAUCGGCUCUAAAUGAGCCGCUUGCACCUCGCUGAUAAAACCAGAGAUUUAGUGGAGCAGACAGGCCUGAGCUUAAACAGGCUUCUCUCUCUCUAUUGAAACACUAUCCAUCAGUUUCAUCAGUCAUCUCCCCUGUCAAGCACAGUCAGCUAAAACAAUGGCUCCGGUGUCUGAGUUUAGCAGAGAAAGGGAGAGGGGGGCUCAGAUGUCAGAUAACAGAUACUGAUGGGGUGCUCUGAUCAUAGUCUUGGCGGCUGGGUCCCCCGUUGAAUUCUGAUUAGGCCAUCUGAUAGGCUGGGUGUCCAAAUCAAGCCAUAAAGACUUUAGAGAUAAGGUAAUGAUAAUGAAUUAUGGAGAGAGAAAGAAAAAAAAAUUGGGCAGCUCUGAUCGAAUCCAAAGAGUGUUGGGUGAUGGCUAAAGCAAUAAAACUACUCCUGCUGGGCCA